GAGUGUGGUGUCUCUCUUGCUUGUGCGGUUGUUCUAGCCUCGAUGUGGACGGUCCCCCGCGCUCCUCUCAUAACCAAACAGUGGUAUCAGAGCCCCGGUUCGACGAAGGGUGCGACCGAGACCGCCGGUUAGUUGCGCAGAAAGCAGCAACGACGGUACAAGCAGCAAGUGGCUCCUUGUACGGCAACGGCAGUGCAAGCAGUGUCGGUCCGUUUGUGGAGAAACCAGCAACGGAGACACAUGCAAAGUAAGAGCUUCCGCUUGAGGGGAGCACGAUGAAUUGAUGGACUCACACUUGAGGGGGAGUGUUGGUUUGCAAGUGUGAGUUAUAUGUCCCACAUCGGAUAAAAUAGUAAAGGUUGAACACCUUAUAAGUAAGAGGACCCAUAAACCCAUUACCUUAAGGUUUUGGGUAAGAGUGUGGUGUCU
rnacentral:lncRNA from 1 species